rnacentral:rRNA from 1 species
UACGAAGGGGGGCUAGCGUUGUUCGGAAUUACUGGGCGUAAAGCGCACGUAGGCGGAUAUUUAAGUCAGGGGUGAAAUCCCAGAGCUCAACUCUGGAACUGCCUUUGAUACUGGGUAUCUCGAGUAUGGAAGAGGUGAGUGGAAUUCCGAGUGUAGAGGUGAAAUUCGUAGAUAUUCGGAGGAACACCAGUGGCGAAGGCGGCUCACUGGUCCAUUACUGACGCUGAGGUGCGAAAGCGUGGGGAGCAAACAGG